UACGUAGGGUGCGAGCGUUAAUCGGAAUUACUGGGCGUAAAGUGUGCGCAGGCGGCCGCGCAAGUCGAGUGUGAAAUCCCCGAGCUUAACUUGGGAAUUGCGCUCGAAACUACGUGGCUGGAGUGUGGCAGAGGAAGGUGGAAUUCCACGUGUAGCGGUGAAAUGCGUAGAUAUGUGGAGGAACACCGGUGGCGAAGGCGGAUCUCUGGGCCUUACCUGACGCUGAGGCGCGAAAGCUAGGGGAGCAAACAGG
rnacentral:rRNA from 1 species